rnacentral:rRNA from 1 species
UACGUAGGUGGCGAGCGUUGUCCGGAUUUACUGGGCGUAAAGAGCGCGCAGGCGGUCGUACAAGUCGCGUGUGAAAGCCCCCGGCUCAACUGGGGAGGGUCACGCGAUACUGUUCGACUCGAAGGCAGGAGAGGGAAGCGGAAUUCCCGGUGUAGUGGUGAAAUGCGUAGAUAUCGGGAGGAACACCAGUGGCGAAGGCGGCUUCCUGGCCUGUUCUUGACGCUGAGGCGCGAAAGCGUGGGGAGCAAACAGG